AUGGUUUUGGUAAAUGUAGUUGACCAUGUAUGUUUGAGCUCGGCAAUUAGAUUCUGAAUGUUGGAUGUCAUUCAGCCUUGGUUUGCAGCUUGUUGUUCAGUUUGUUAUGCUUUGUACCCUGAUACUGAGAUGAUUUGAAGUUGUUUGUAAGACUGGCCAAUUUUUGUGAGCUAUGGAGCUUUCGCUGGGUACUUUGUUGGGAUGGUGGCAGCUUAGCUUUUGUUUGUGUCCUCUUCUGAAAUAAUCCAAGGCAUGUAAACUGAGAGACUAAUGAUGGAGAAUUCGACAUUAAUCUUAUUGAAGGUUGCUAUCGAUGACCAUAUUGAUAGACCGAGUUGCAUCCAGCUGACCAUAGGACCUCACCUGCUCAGUGGAAGUUUUGCAAUUUUUUCCCAGUAACAUUACAAAACUCACCCCUCCCAUGAACUUCCCUUACCCACUUUUCUUUUUGCCCAGGCAAUGCAAUUUGCAGAAGCUUAGAAGUACCUUUGGUUCUCACUGGAAGUUCUUUCUUUACCUUUUUUCCCUUUAACUCUAUUUCUUCAAUUAUGAUCUGCUGGUGUCUUUAAAUGGAAAAUCCUUGUCUGAUGCAUGCUUACUUUGUAAAUCAUUCUGUCCAGUUUGUGAGGAAGAAGGAUGUUGUUAGUGCUUAGAGAUUAGUAUACAUGGCACAUUCCUCAAUUAUUCGCUCUCUAGUGUAAAAGGCUUGAAUCACUAAAUCCUGGCUUUUGCUUAACAGUUACAGGUGAAGAUAUUUCACAGCCAUUGUUUAUGUUUUGUCUUUAAAUAAACUUUGGGCUGAUGGACCCUUUAUAGCUUUUAGGUUUUAACCCAGCCAUGUGCAUAGAUUUCCACUUCUCAUGGACUCGCUAGACUUGACAAGGAGAAGCAGACGCAAACGAGGUCAUCAGUCAUUACUCAUCCCCUGUCACUUAUCUAAACCGUCUGAAUUGGCGCUUUCACCACCUGGGCCGAAAGUGAGAUCAGAUAUCCGAUCUUUCGAACAAAAUGAAUGUAAACGGGUCUAAUCGGGUCUAGUUUCACUCUCAAACUCUUUAAUUUAUUUUUUUAAGAGGAGAAUCUACACCUUACAAGAAAAAAUGAAAACAAAGAGUUUGGGAGUCGAAUAUGAGAUUUUAGGACCUUUCUCCAUCUCUUAUGAAUUUAUAGUUUCUUUAAUCCGAAAUACAAAUGCUAGUCUAUAGUGAAUUGUGUAUGCUAUAUCUUAAAUGUUAAAAAUAUAUUCUCCCCAAGGAAAACUAACAAAGAAGCAAAUGGUAGUCACAUAAUAUUUAAUCAACUAUUCAAAAUAAAAAUAGAAAGAAGAAUGUUAGUUACUUUGUUAAUUUGGUAUAUACUUUUAAAUAUUAACUAAUCAAAAAUUCUAGUUUGCUAAUAUCUGUUUAAAUUGUUAAAUUUCUGGUUAUCCAUAGGGGUGACAAUUGGGUCCAAAUUGGGUUGGCGGGUCGGGUUGAGACCCCGGUAUAAUAGAAAUCCGUUGACCCGAAUCUGAUCCGUCAAUCCAAAAUGGGUCAGGAUAUCUGACCCGAACUCGAAAAUUUUGGGUUGGCAGGUCUAUCUGAAAUUUAAUUUUAAUUUAUUAAUUUAUCAGUGUAAUUUCUAAUAAAACCAAUUUCACACAAGACUAAUUACAUAAUUAAGUAAUAAAAUUUUAAAUAAAUAAUUUCAAAUCAAAUUUAAAAUAAAUUGAAACACCAUAAAAAUGUUUUAUCCCAAACCAAAUAUAAAAUAAAUUAAAACAGUAUAAAAGUAAAAAAUAAUAUAAUACAUUAUUUGUCUAAAUAUAAUAAUUUCAAUUUCACACAAGUUAAAUAAAUUUAUUUAAGAUUAAGUGAUUAAUGUCUUUGGAAAAAAAGAAUACCUUAGUCUUGUUAGAUAAAAUAAUUUUUAUGUUUAUUAAAUAAUUUUUAAUUUGUAAACGGGUUAUCAGGUCAUAUCGGAUCACCCACGGGUUGAUCCGAAUUCGACCCGUUUUCUUUUCGGGUUCAUCGAGUUCAACCCGAACUUGCGAAAUUUCAACCAAAACCCAUUAAUUUCGUGUUGGAUUCGUGUCGUGUUUUCAGGUCGUGUCAGAAAUUGCUAUCUCUAGUUAUCCAUGCUUUUGACUAUGAUAGUUAUAUAGUACAAAAUCAUGAAUUUCCUAUUAGUGAAUACAUAUGUAAACUAAAAUGAGAACGAAAUUGUAAAUAAAAGAAUACUAAAAUGUUAUAAUAAGCAUACAAUCAGUAAUACUAAUAGGAAAGUAAAAAAAAAAAUAGUGACAUUCGAGAAGUGAAAAAAUAAAAAGAAAAAUAAAAUAUCAAAAAAGAAAAAUAAAGGAUGAAUAAAUAAGGAGAAAAUUAAAAUAAUAUAGUAAGGGCACUUUUAUUCUAAAACAUCAAGCAGGAAAGUAAAGUACCUAUUUAAUGAGUUUAGGGAAGUUAAAGUGCAAUUGAAGGCAAAAGUCUCAAGGAGGUUUAGUACAUUAAUCCAUUUCAAAAAUGCCUAUCACUUUUGACCCAAUAAAUGUACAAACUCCUGCCCAGUUGGUAGGUUAUGAACCAAUGUAGACAAUAUGACAUUCAACAUAGCUCAUUGGUUGCUCAGUCGAUUAAGACAUAUCGCUAGCCUAGCCACUAGCAUGAAGGUGAUAAAAUACACAUUUUGUAAAUGGUUUCUAUACAUUUUUUUCUUUCUUGAUUUCCUUUUUCAAGAUCGCCAAACACUUCUGAUAGUAUGGAUGGAGUUUCUGCUUGGGAGUUUGUGGUUUCUUAAAAAUCUAAAAGGACGGAAUUUGAUAUCCAUCAAAGCCAUUUCUUUCUGACAUGAAGUUGUCAGUAUCAGGGUCCUGUGGUUCAAGAUCUGGUUUACAGGGUCUUUCCUCACAUGACUUUGUCUUUUUCUUCCCUUUUGAAGGUAAUGGAUAAUCAUCAUCAAAAUGAUAUUCCCACCAACAGUCAUCACAUUUAGUACAUAUAUCAAAAUAAAUAUGUCCAGAAAUAGGAUCUUGAAAAUGACAUACUGGUUCACUUUCCUUAGUGAAAUGAGCAAUAAUAUUUUGGGCAAAACCUUUUUCUCAGUUUUCAUCAUAUCUUUCAAGAGCUAUUUCUUCUUCAGUUAGUGUCUCCAUGGAAACCUGUGCAAACAUCAUAGUAGGAUAAGAUUUUUUUGAAUUUGGUUUUAAAUGGGAAUGAUCAAAAGUAAUUGAAAUUCUCCCUUCUUGUGUCUGAGAGAUUUUUGAGUUUCAAAACUCAAUAGGUUCAUUUGCUUGAGAAUGCAGGGACUCAUAAUCAGUAAUCCAAUUGUCUGGUAACAAUUGAAUUAAUUCUAAUUUUGAAAUUUGUCUUGGCAUAUGGGUAUAAGAGGCUGAAUUCUUCUCAUUAAUACGGAUAAAAAGAGCAUCUUCUCCACCAGGAAUUGUGAGAUCCAGAAUAUGAUUUUGGAUACGAUAAACCAUCUGAUAGUGGAGGGUUGCAGCAAUAGCAUCUGUCAUCUGGUCUGCUCCUAUGAUUUGUACCUGGACUUUAAGAGCAUCAAGCAAAUGGGGAUCUGACAGAGACAUGUUAAAAUUGGAGAAAAGAGUCACAAAAACAGUUCCAACAUUUAGAGUAGUUUCUACGGUUGCUAUACAAGCAUGCUGGUAUUUUGUGAAUCUGGUGUCAAACAAGGCUAUGCGAGCCACCAUUGGUAGCUCCUUUCUACUAUGAAAGGAUAAAAAGAAUCUAAUUGCACCAAAAUGAAUAUGAGUAAAUCCUUAUUGCUUCCAUUGAGAAGGAAAUUCUGGAGGAAUUUAGAGAGUAAUGAACUAUUCCUUCUUAGUAACAAGGAUAAGAUGUUGAUCCACUUUUGAAGCCUGAAUAUAUUCUUUUAUGCCCUUGGGAUAAUGCUUGAUCAGGGAUUUGAUAGCCCUGAUAGGUGAGAAUUGUUGUUUGCCAAAUGUAGUAUAUGGAUUAAUAACAUGCAAAGAGGUAGGAUUAACCAUCUCUGGUUCAACAGACACUUCAUACAAAUAAUCGAAUUUAUUACUAUUAGUUCUAUUUAAUAUAAGUUUACUGGAAGUAGAAUCACUCAUUUUAGAAAUAAAAGAACUCAUAUUUUUAAUUUAUUAAAAUCUUUCUCACCAUUUAUCUUAUAAAUACGAUACCAUAACAUAUAUAUAUAUAUAUAUAUAUACCUGUCUUCUAACUAUCUGGUAUGAUUUAGAAUGCAAAUAAUCUAGUAAAUUAAAACUUUCUAACUUAAGUACUCUUAUGUAAUCUAUAUAUUCUCGCUUAUUAUAAUAUUCAAACAUAAAACAUGGAGAACCUCUACAAACAUCAUUAAAAACAUAAUUAUAUUAAUUUCCUGAAUGUGGAUCAAAGUGGUGUCAUGAACCUAUAAAAAGUAUAGAAAGAAAUUUUAAUAUUGAAAAUUUGGAUGAGAAAUUUUCCUUUUAGGUAUGGCUCUGAUACCAAACUCAGAGUAGCCAACUCUAAAUUUUAAAGGUAUUCUCAAACACAAUAGCCUCUCUCUCUUGAACUUUCAAAAGUUCAAGAGACUUUUAUCAAAAGAUCAUAGUGAUUACCUUCAUAAGGAUCUCGGCCUUGUUAAAGGGAAAAUAAAAAGUUUAAGCCACCAUAACUUUGGGAAAUUGUUAGAAAUUUUAUUGGGUUUCUCAAUCUUUUCUUCGAUGAUCCUUCCAAAUGGUAAGAGUCAUCUAUUUAUACAAACUAAAGUAACCUUUUGGACACUUGACCUUUCAGAAAUCAAAUAGUAAAAUGACUUUUGGUGAAAGGUAAUAGACAACCUUUCAAGAAUUCAAAAGACAAACAACCUUUCAGAAAAAUAAAAGACAAAUGACCUUUUAGAAAAGUAAAGGUUACAGAUAAAGUUACAGACAACCUUUAUUAUUAGGACCUAUUAUUGUCUAAACGUCCCAAAUCCACUGGUAGUUUUCAUCAGGGGUAUCCGAGGGAGUGGUGUCAGGAUCAGUGAUGUUGUACAGCUCAACUCAUGUGCUUCUCAAUUUUUCCUUUUAUUCAAUUGUCUUUUUUCUUUUGAUCUUGUUUUAUGAACAUAAGAAGAUGAAGAGGGUCCAACUUCUGAUUGCCUUUUUAACUUUAGUCCAAUGAAGAUGACUAGUUUCAUAGUUCCAUGAACCAUAAUGUCUUUUGGCCAAAUCUCAGGUGGAAUGCAUCUGUUUUUCUAAAAUAUAUAUCUCUGAACUUCCUCAUAAUCAAGAUCUAAGAUAGUAUGAGACAUAUGAGACAAGCCAAUCAGAAGCUGGACCCUCUUCAUCUUUUUAUGUUCAUAAAACAAGAUCAGAAGAAGAAAACAGUUGAAUAAAAGGAAAAAUCGAGAAGCACAUGAGUAUCAUAUUGAGUUGUACAUCACUGAUCCUGAUACCACUCCCUCGAAUACCCCUGAUGAAGACUACCAGUGGAUUUGGAAUAUUUAGACAAUAAUAGGUUCUAGCAAUAAAGGUUGUCUGUAACUUUUACCUUUCUAAAGGGUCAUUUGUCUUUUAUUUUUCUGAAAGGCUGUUUGUCUUUUGAGUCCUUGAAAGGUUGUCUAUUACCUUUGACCGAGAGUCAUUUUACUAUAUGAUUUCUGAAAGAUCAAGCAUCUGAAAGGUCACUUUAGUUUGUAUAAAUAGAUGACUUUUACCAUUUGAGAAGAUCAUCGAAGAAAAGAUUGAGAAAAAUCCAAUAAAAUUUCUAACAAUUUCUCAAAGUUAUGGCAGUUUCAACUUCUUAUUUUCUCUUUAGGAAGGCCGAGAUUCUUAUGAAGAUAAUCAUUCUGAUCUUGUGAUAAAAUUCCUUUGAACUUUUGAAAACCCAAAAAAGAGAAGCUGUUGUGUUCGGGAAUACCUUCAAAAUUUAGAGUUGGUUAUUCUGAAUUUGGUAUCAGAGUCAAAUCUAAAGGAAAAAUUUCUCAUCCAAAUUUUUAUUCUUAAAAUUUCUUUCUAUACUUUUUAAUGGAUUCAUGACACCACUUUGAUCCAUAUUCAGGAGAUUGGUAUAAUUAUGUCUUUAAUGAUAUUUGUAGAGGUUCUCAAUAUUUUAUGUUUGAAUAUUAUAAUAAGUAAGAAUGUAUAGAUUAUAUUAGACUAUUUGAAUUAGAAAUUUUUAAUUUACUAGAUUAUUGGUAUCCUAAAUCAUACCAGAUAGUUAGAAGACGUGUAUGUAUAAAUCUUAUAUGGUAUCGUAUUUAUAAGAUAAUAGUGAGGAAGAUUUUAAUAAAUUAAAAAUAUAAGUUCUUCUACUUCUAAAAUAAGUGCUUCUACUUCCAGUGAACUUGUAUUAAAUAGAACUAAUAGUAAUAAAUUAGAUUAUUUGUAUGAAGUGUCUGUUGAACUAGAGGUGAUUAAUCCUAUCUCUUUUCCUGUUAUUAAUCCAUAUACUGCAUUUGACAAACAACAAUUCUUACCUAUCAGGGCUAUCAAAUCUUUGAUCAAGCACCAUACCAAGGGCGUAAAAGAAUAUAUUCAAGUUUCAAAAGUGGAUCAACAUCCUAUCUUUGCUACUAAGAAGAAACAGUUCAUUACACUCUAUAUUCCUCCAAAAUUUUCUUCUCAAUGGAAGCAACAGCGAUUUACUCAUAUUCAUUUUGGUGUAAUUAGAUUCUCUUUAUCCUUUCAUGGCAGAAAGGGACUGCCAAUGGUGGCUCGCAUAGCCUUGCUUGACAACAGAUUCACAAAAUACCAGCAUACUUGUAUAGUAACCGUAAAAACUACUCUAAAUACUGGAACUGUUUUUGUGACUAUUUUCCCCAAUUUUAACAUGUCUCUGUCAGAUCCCUAUUUGCUUGAUGCUCUUAAAAUUCAGGUACAAAUCAUAGGAGCAGACCAGGUGACAUGCUAUUGCUGCAACCCUUCACUAUCAGAUGAUUUAUCGUGUCCAAAAUCAUAUUUUGGAUCUCACAAUUUUUGGUGGAGAAGAUGCUCUUUUUAUCCGUAUUAAUGAGAAGAAUUCAGUUUCUUGCACCCAUAUGCCAAGACAAAUUUCAAAAUUAGAAUUAAUUCAAUUGUUACCAGACAAUUAGAUUACUGAUUAUGAGUUCCUGCAUUCUCAAGCAAAUGAAUCUAUUGAGUCUUGAAACUCAAAAAUCUCUCAAACACAAGAAGGGAGAAUUUCAAUUACUUUUGAUCAUUCCCAUUUAAAACCAAAUUCAAAAAAAUCUUAUCCUACUAUGAUGUUUGCACAGGUUUCCAUGGAGACACUAACUGAAGAAGAAAUAGCUCUUGAAAGAUAUGAUGAAAACUGAGAAAAAGGUUUUGCCCAAAAUAUUAUUGCUCAUUUCACUAAGGAAAGUGAACCAGUAUGUCAUUUUCAAGAUCCUAUUUCUGGACAUAUUUAUUUUGAUAUAUGUACUAAAUGUGAUGACUGUUGGUGGGAAUAUCAUUUUGAUGAUGAUUAUCCAUUACCUUCAAAAGGGAAGAAAAAGACAAAGUCAUGUGAGGAAAGACCCUGUAAACCAGAUCUUGAACCACAGGACCUUGAUACUGACAACUUCAUGUCAAAAAGAAGUGGUUUUGAUGGAUAUCAAAUUCCGUCAUCUUGGAUUCUUAAGGAACCACAGACUCCCAAGCAGAAACUCCAUCCAUACUAUCAGAAGUGUUUGGCUAUCUUGGAAAACGAAGUCAAGAAAGUAUGAAAACCAGUUCAAAAACCCAUUUAAUCCGUACAGCCAUCAAGAUGCCUGUACCAAAAACCUGAGGAAUCACUUCAACAAGUUUUCAUGUUUAAUGAAGAAGAUUUCCCCAAACUAGAACCUUUUAUCAAAAAUGGUUCUAGACAUGUGCCAAUAGUUUAGAAUGCUCAUCCUAUAGUUCUCCCAACAUGAGAAACUGUUAGAUCCAAUCCUACUGAAGAAAUUCUGAAUUGGCAAACUGAAAACUCCUUGGUUCAGAAUACUGGUCUUACUUCCAUCCAUAAGAAUGUGACUGAGGUAAAAGGGAAAAUUGAUCAUAUUGAUACUGCUGUUAAAACUCAAAACUCUCAGGUAUCUCAUAUGAUUGAAGUUCUUGAAAAAAUGCUAGAAAACUUGAAAUAUGAAUUGCCUUCACAUUUUUCAUCUUUAGCUAACUUUGUUUUGAAUCAGGAAAAGAAAACUCGCUUUAUUAAAAAUCAAAUUGAAACUCUCAAAACUACAAGUGAGGUCCCAAAAUUUGAUGUUUGACCAUUUGAACCAACCGCACCCAAGGUAAGUCCAGGAUUUGGUACUACUUCCAUAAAAAAUUGGCCUACUCCUUUUUACUUUGGUGGUGUAGCUACACCAAAUCCUUCUGACUUCCUUCCUAGUCAACAAGAGCAGACUCCUCCUCAUUUUGAUAUUGUUAAAGUAUUACAAGAAUAUCGUAAGAAGAAGCAAAAACAAAAGGAUGAAGAAAGAGAAAGGAAGAAGGUUGAAAAAGAAAGGAAAAGGAAGCUGUUCAAGAACCAGAAAGUUCAUUGAUGUAUACUAAAAUACAUACUAACCCUAUAUUUUCUCUUGAACAGGAAAAGGAAGCAGGAAAGACUAAAAGUCUAUGACAAUCCUUUAUCAUCUAUGCUCCAAGAAUUGCAUGAUGAGUCAGUACCAUACAUUUCUACUUAUGACUAGAUGACACAUAACUCAGAAAAUUCUAAUACAACAGAUUCAGAAUCUGAAUCAAAUGAAAAUCAAAUCUUAGAAUCAUCUGAGAAAGUGACAUCAUCUGAAGAAGAAGAAAUUUCGAUCAUAAAUAUGGCUACUGAAGCUGAAGUUGUACAUCUUGAUGAUGAGGAAGAUGGUGAAGGAGAAACAUCAAAUGCUUCCAGAACUCAAAGGACCACUUUUCCAAAAUCAAAAGGAGUUCAAACUUUUACUAUUGAUGAUAUCCCAUCUGAAAAAUGGGAAGCAAGAUUUCAGGAUUUUCAUGCCUGGAUGACUAUCCAAAAUAUUAUUGAAGAAUCUCAUUUUGAAAUUUUGUCUGACUUUACUGCUCAUUUUUUCAGGAAUUCUUAAAGAUUGGUGGGCAAGCCUUGGUGAUCAAGACAAGAUGUAUUUCUUGACCCGUCAAGACUUUUCUGAAAACAUCAAUAUACUGCACUUGAUGUUCAUAGGAGAUGUAAAGGAGAGCAAGGAGAUAAAGAGAAAAGAAUUCUUUUAAAUGAAAUGUUUCUCUUAUGAUCGUAGAGAUAUUAAUAAACAUUUCAAGAAGAUGACUAAACUAUUUUUUGCUCUUGGUGCAGAUAUUAAUCUUAAACAAACUUUUGUAAGCUCACUUCCAAAAUCUCUUGCUAAGGGAGCUGAAAUGCACAUCCAUAAUAAAUAUGGAUCCAUCUUAAAUUUGUCCACAGGACAAAUUAAGCAGGCAGUUAUCUUAUCUUUGGAUGAUCUUUGCAACAAAAGAAAAGUUAUCAGAGAAUAUCUAAAAGGAGAUGUUUGCUUAGAUCAAUCUUGUAAAAAGUCAGAAUUGAUUACAAAAGGAAAAUGUCAAGCUUGUGCUCCACACAAAAGAAGGAAAAAAUUCAAAAAAUUCAAAAGCUUCAAUAAAAGUUGUCCUAGAAAAACCUUCCGCAAAAGAUGGAAAUAUUUUAUUAGGAAGGAGAAGAAGUUCAGAGAAAGAAAAGGCAACAGAUGUUACAUCCGUGGAAAGCCAGGAUAUUUUGCAAAACAAUGUCCUCAGAAUCAAAAGGAAGUAAAAUUAAUUUCAGAAAUUAAGGAUGAAUUUAAAUUUCAGUUUCUGAUUUAGAAUCUGAAUUUUCUGAGUAAGAAAAUGAAACUGAUCAUACUCUUUUGGCUUUGCAAGUUCCAGAUGAAAUCUUUACUAUUUCCCCCAAUAGUAAAGAAGUACUAGGGAAAACUUAUCCUCAGACCCUUGCUCAUAUUCUUUUGGAUAAGUACUGCAAAUCAAUUCUUGUAAUUGCUUUCUUUCAUUCACAUGCAUCCUUGUCAAUCAUGAAAUAAGACAUUCUACCUGAUGAAUGUUGGAUUCAUGAAAUUCAUUAUUUUAGAGUAGCUAAUGGUGAGCUUUUUCAAACAAAGUUUAUAACCAAAAGACAUUCUAACUGAUGAAUGUUGGAUUCAUGAAAUUCAUUAUUUUAGAGUAGCUAAUGGUGAGCUUUUUCAAACAAAGUUUAUAACCAAAGAUCCUAUCACCAUUAAGUUUCUUCCAGAUUGUCAAGUCAAAGCAAAGUUUUUAGGCGCAAAUUUUACUAGAAAGGAUCUCAUUCUUGGUUUUGAUCUUUACAGAACAAAUCAAUAUCUUGUUACAACUUAUGGAAUUAAGUCCAAAAAGUUUUUUAAAAAUUUCAUAGAAAUCCCAAAGUUGUACGUGAUCCAGGAUGAGGUACUCUCUCUUGAAAAACAACUCAAAGAAUUUCAAGAUCAAAUCAUUAAAGAAUCUUGUGCCUCAAAUCAUCAAGAGUUCUUACAAAAAUGUGACCAUCCAUUGUGGGAAAAUUCUGAUUUUUAUAUCCGAUUUCCUUUUAAAAAGAAUGAGGAUGUAAAUCCCACAAAAGCUAGUCAUUCAGGAAUGAAUCUUGAAGAUUCUAAAAUAGCUGAGCAAGAAUGUGUUGAACUUUUGAAAUUUGGUCUUAUUGAAAGAUCUGAUUCCCAAUGGGCAUGCCAAGGUUUCUAUGUCAACAAAAGAUCUGAACAGGUAAGAGGUAAGAUGAGACUGGUAAUUAAUUAUUUGCCUUUAAACAUCUUUCUUCUGGAUGACAAAUUUUCAAUUCCCAACAGAUUUACAUUAUUUGCCCAAAUUUCAAAAGCAAAAUAGUUUUCAAAGUUUGAUCUUAAAUCUGGAUUUUGACAGUUGGAAAUACAUCCAGAAGAUAGGCAUAAAACUGAUUUUUGCAUUCCAAAUUAUCACUUCCAGUGGAAAGUGAUGCCCUUUAGCCUAAAGACGGCACCUUCACUUUUUUAAAAGGCCAUGAUAAAAAUUUUCCAGCCUAUUCUUCACACUGCACUGGGGUAUAUUGAUGACAUUCUUCUUUUCAGGAACACUUGAGAAGAACACAUCCAAUUGCUUAAUGAUUUUCAUAAUAUUGUUAAGCAAUAUGGUAUCAUGAUUUCUGAGAAGAAAAUGAUUUUGGGAAAACAAGAAAUUCAAUUUCUUGGAAUGAAAAUUUCUGAAGGAAAAUGUACUCCUGAGCAGCAUGUUGGACAAUCAAUUGCAAAUUUUCUUGAAAAAGAUUUGUCAAAAACACAAGUUCAACAGUUUCUUGGAGUUGUUACAAGCCGAUUCAUUCAGUCACUUUAUAGUGCGAUAAAGUACACAGUAAGAUUCAUGGUAACAAGAAUAUGCUGGUCAAGUAAAUGACAAUUUAGCAUAUUCAUCUUAAACGACAAUAUAGCAUUUAAACAAAAUAAGAGCAUGCUUUAUAGUAGUUUUUAACCAUUCAAGAGUAACAAUUAUUAAUUUUACUUGAUCAGAUUUUAACAUGAGACUAGCAUAUCUACUAUUAUGGAUGUAGAUCUAAAACUGUACACUCAAUGUGUAAUAUGCAGGUAGUCAUAUCGUAGUAAUAUGAAUGCAAUAUUUACACAGCAUAAAUUAGCAUGUUCUUGUCUCGAAACUUACCUCUAUUUGGUAUCUCCUUGUCCUUCUUGCUUUCUAGAUGUUGUUGUUUCAUUUCUCCACUUGUUUGCUUGCUCUCCUCACAUUUCUUACAGAAUUGUGUGGAU
rnacentral:lncRNA from 1 species